CAUGCAAGUCGAGCGAAUGGAUUGAGAGCUUGCUCUUAUGAAGUUAGCGGCGGACGGGUGAGUAACACGUGGGUAACCUGCCCAUAAGACUGGGAUAACUCCGGGAAACCGGGGCUAAUACCGGAUAACAUUUUGAACUGCAUGGUUCGAAAUUGAAAGGCGGCUUCGGCUGUCACUUAUGGAUGGACCCGCGUCGCAUUAGCUAGUUGGUGAGGUAACGGCUCACCAAGGCAACGAUGCGUAGCCGACCUGAGAGGGUGAUCGGCCACACUGGGACUGAGACACGGCCCAGACUCCUACGGGAGGCAGCAGUAGGGAAUCUUCCGCAAUGGACGAAAGUCUGACGGAGCAACGCCGCGUGAGUGAUGAAGGCUUUCGGGUCGUAAAACUCUGUUGUUAGGGAAGAACAAGUGCUAGUUGAAUAAGCUGGCACCUUGACGGUACCUAACCAGAAAGCCACGGCUAACUACGUGCCAGCAGCCGCGGUAAUACGUAGGUGGCAAGCGUUAUCCGGAAUUAUUGGGCGUAAAGCGCGCGCAGGUGGUUUCUUAAGUCUGAUGUGAAAGCCCACGGCUCAACCGUGGAGGGUCAUUGGAAACUGGGAGACUUGAGUGCAGAAGAGGAAAGUGGAAUUCCAUGUGUAGCGGUGAAAUGCGUAGAGAUAUGGAGGAACACCAGUGGCGAAGGCGACUUUCUGGUCUGUAACUGACACUGAGGCGCGAAAGCGUGGGGAGCAA
rnacentral:rRNA from 2 species